rnacentral:rRNA from 1 species
UACGUAGGCAGCAAGCGUUGUUCGGAGUUACUGGGCGUAAAGGGUGCGUAGGCGGUUGUUUAAGUUUGGUGUGAAAUCUCCCGGCUCAACUGGGAGGGUGCGCCGAAUACUGAAUGACUAGAGUGCGGGAGAGGAGAGUGGAAUUCCUGGUGUAGCGGUGAAAUGCGUAGAUAUCGGGAGGAACACCAGUGGCGAAGGCGGCUUCCUGGCCGUGUUCUUGACGCUGAGGCGCGAAAGGCUAGGGGAGCAAACGGG